rnacentral:rRNA from 1 species
CUACGGGGCGCACCAGUCGAGAAUCUUCCGCAAUGGACGAAAGUCUGACGGAGCGACGCCGCGUGCGGGAUGAAGGCCUUCGGGUUGUAAACCGCUGUCAGUGGGGAGGAAAUGCAUCAGGGUUCUCCCUGGUGUUUGACCGAUCCGCAGAGGAAGCGCAGGCUAAGAUCGUGCCAGCAGCCGCGGUAACACGAACUGCGCGAACGAUAUUCGGAAUCACUGGGCUUAAAGAGUUCGUAGGCGGCCUUUCAAGUCGGGUGUGAAAUCCCUCGGCUCAACCGAGGAAUUGCGCCUGAUACUGUUGGGCUUGAGGGGGAUAGGGGUGAGCGGAACUGAUGGUGGAGCGGUGAAAUGCGUUGAUAUCAUCAGGAACACCGGUGGCGAAGGCGGCUCACUGGAUCUCUUCUGACGCUGAGGAACGAAAGCUAGGGGAGCGAACGGGAUUAGAUACCCUGGUAGUC